GGCUUUGUGACCAGGGGGAUUAGCGCUGCUUUCCCAAGACAGGUUUUCAUGUUUAUGAUCUUCAGGCUUUGCCUAUCCAGGUUGGCUGGCCGGUGCUGACGGGACUGAGCUGAGGCUAGGGUUCAACUUCCUUUUAAGACUUCCGCUGUAGCAGUAAAUAAUAUUUUGUCUUUUGUUUUCUCAACUUAAGACUUUCAUAUCAGAUUUAGAAUGACAUCUAUGAUUGAGCCUAAGCACUUAACUCCUAGUUUUAUGCUAAUGAAUAUUGGUUAUCAGAAGCAUGAAACAAAACUUGUGAUCCAAAGGGGCCUAGCCCGACUCGUUAUCUUAUUAUUCGAGUCUUAACAAGGUUGUUCCUUGUUUAUUUCUA